AAACAAUAUAAUAGUAGAAAGUAAGGAAGAAGAGAAAAAAUCUAAAGCACACCACUAAAUAGUUAUUUGGCCAAAAAAAAAAAAGAGAGAGAAAAAAAAUACCUUGGGUUUUCUAAAGGAUUUCUACCUAAUAUCUCAGAAGGAAAGUGAGAAAGAAGGGAUGAGAGGAUCCAGGCUAUUAUAAUGGAUGUGUGGCCUAAGAUCAGGAAUGAGAACAAGCUAUAUAAGAAUAUUAGAAAUGCUCAUUUAGGCAUAUUUAGUCAUGCCUCAAAUGAAAAAUAAGGUUCUAAAGCAUAUGUAAUUUCAAAAGUUUAAACUUUUCCUGCUAAUAUUCAUAACACUGUUUAAGAUUCCUAAAUUAAUCUUUACUAGGUGGUUCUGGAGAAAAAUCAGAAUUAAAUAAUCUUUAGGAGGCAGUAAGACUUAAUAAGUAUUUUGUAAUACAAAUGUAAAUUAAUCUAACUUUAUGGAAAAACAUUUUUUAGAGGAGAUAAAGGUAUCCCCACACUUUUGAAAAUAGAUCCAAAUUUGAAGAAGCAAGUUAUUAGAUUCAGGAAAUUAUUUUUUUUCAUUUUUUAGCUUUUUGAAACAGUCUUGCCAUCUUGCCUAGGCUGGUCUUGAAGUUUUGAGUUCAGGUGCUCUUCCCAUGUUAGGACUACCUGUGUGUAUUAUCAAGCCUGACUUGCAUAUUAUUUUGUGGUGCUGGGGAUUGGACCUAGGACCCUGCUCAUGCUAGGCAAGUUCUCAGGCUCUGAGCCUCUUUUCCCAACAGGUCCAGAAGAUUUGUAGGAGCGAAAUAUUUGAAAGCAUUAGCCAUUCAAUAUGCUUCAUUUCAUUUAUGUUAUAUGAUAACAGUCUUUUUAAAGGUACAGUCUGUGUAGCAGUGAAUGAAAAAUUAGUGAAUUGAGUUCACAUAUUUUCUUUAAAUUGGGUUAACUUAAUCAACUUAUAUUUUAACUGCAGGUCAAUAAAGACCCUAUAUUUUGUGGGGAGGAUCGGUGUGUGUUCAUAAGACUUUGUGGUAGGUUUCAGUAGUUUCACGAAGAAAGUAGUAACAUUAAAAAGUAAUUGUUUGCUGGGCACUGUGGUGCAUGCCUGUAAUCCCAGCAGCUGGGAAGGCUGAGGCAGAAGGAACUUGAGUUCAAAGCCAGCUUCAGCAAAAGUGAGGCACUUAGCAAAUCAGUGAUACCCUGUCUCAAAUAAAAUACAAAAUAGGGCUGCAGAUAUGUGGUUCAGUGGUCGAGUGCCCCUGAGUUCAAUCCUUGACCACCCCCCCCCCCAAAAAAAAAGUAAUUGUUAAAAAUGAUUGUAAAUUUUGAGUUGGGGCUGGGGUUGUAGCUUAGCGGUAGAGCACUUGCAUAGCACAUGCAAGCCCUGAGUUCAAUCCUCAGCACCACAUAUAAAUAAAUAAAUAAAGGUAUUGUGUCCAACUAUAACUAAAACAAAAAUAUAAAAAAAUUUUUUUUUGAGUCAAUUCCUAAAUGAAAUUACUGGCUAUUUUUGAAAAAUAGGGGCUAAAAUCUUCAAAUCCAUUUAUGUAGCACAUGUAUACAUUAUAAUGUGUAAUGUAUUUCAGAACUGCAGUAAGUAAAGUCCAUUUUGCAUUAUUACCACAUACUUGGGGAAAAAUACUGUAAAUACAGAUUCAGAAUUAGACAUUCAUGGAAAGAUUACUAGUCUGUGAAUUGUCUCAUUAACUGAUGGCUUUUUUCUUCGUUUCUAGAAUUUUGAUAAAGCUGUUGUCUUCCUUGAAUAUGUGAUUUUUAGCUAUUUUCUUUUUUUACACCAUAACCUCAUUCCUUCUUUCCAUAGUCUAUUCUUUCCCCUUUUCUUGAUGGUUUUGUUUAGGCCAGGUACUACCUUGGCUUCAAUAUAUAAUUCAUUCAAUGAAUUAUUCCUUGUUGUAUAUGAUAGUCAAGAGCAGUGUUUUUGUUGUUGUUUGCAGUGCUGGGGAUUGAACCCGGGACCAUGUUCAUGCUAGGCAGGCACUCUACUGUUGAAUUAUGCCCUCAGGCCAAGAGCAGGGUUUUGAAGACACAGCCAAUGACAUCUCUUAUCAUUUCAGUGGUGCCUAUUUUCCUGUGCCUGUUUCCUCUUUUGUAAAGUGAGGUAGGUGAUUGUAAGAUUCAGUGAAAAUAAAGUAUCUGAAACAACGUUAAUAGGCCCCUAUUAAGUGUUAGUUAAUGUUGUUGACUCAAAUGUAUUUCUGCUUUCUACCCUGUUACAAACAUGUCUUUAAAUAUCUUUUUGAUUGCAUCAUCUUGGAAGGCACUAGGUAAUUUAAAAUUAGGAACUCAAAAAAAAUGUUAUUUUUUCUAAGAAAAUUAGCUAUGUCUAUCUGCCUCUUUAAUAAUGAACAUCUCUGUUUUUCUGAUCUAUUUUAAUUAGCCUAGAAAUGUUUGAAGUCUCAUGAGUUCCAUUCAGUGUUUUCUUCGUUGUGUGUAUUACACUUUGCAAGGAGACUUGCUGAUGUUACUCUGAUUAACUUAUAGUGGCUCAUUCAAUUCAUUCAUUAACAAGCUUCAAAAUUCUGGGUACUGUUAUAAGUAUUAUUAAUAAAUGGUAAGUUAUGCAAGGUUCUGUGCUCCUAAACAUAUUAAAAAGGAUGGAAGCCUUGUGGUAAGCCUUGUGGUAACAAUGGAUGGCUGCAUAUCUAAGAAGAUAGCCAGGGGACAGACAAUAGAG
rnacentral:lncRNA from 1 species